ensembl:lncRNA LINC03011 long intergenic non-protein coding RNA 3011
AGAACCAAUCGGAACUCGAGGCGCAGCGGCUGGGUAUUCCAGGAGAGCGCAUGCGCAGACGCAUGGCCACAGACUGCCGGUCAGUGUCAGCAGGCGGUGGGUUAGGGUCCGCAGGCCCAGACCAGGCCGCCGACACCAAUAAGCUACAAGGAGGAGCUUUACCGCUGCCUGUACUACUACUGCCUGCGCUACUUCCCAGCCUGCGGCGUAGGGCGCAGCAAGGGCCUGACGCUUAGCGAGCAGGCGCUGCGCACCAAGCGGCUGUCGCCUGGAGGGCACGUUCAGGCAGAAGCUCCUCAGUGGCCACAAGUCCGCUAGCUCCGGCUACAGCCCUUGCCGCACACUCGCGUCACCUGAGCCUGUGUAGGUGCGCCCCCCAACUCCUCCCCCAGCCAGGUCCCGGGGACGCCGGCAGCGUCCCCCACCCCUGGCGCCGCUCAUCCUGGGCAGGAUCGGCCCCGUCUGAGGCUGCACCGCAUUAGGGAGCUGCACCCCUCGGCUUGACCUCUGAUGGCCGUUGCAACAACAUCAAAGCCUUUGGAACUUUGUAGGGGGUACGAGGGGCUAGGAAACCAAGAAAACAUCUUUUUAAAAAUAUAAGCGAUCGGGCCGGGCGCGGUGGCUCACGCCUGUAAUCCCAGCACUUUGGGAGGCCGAGACAGGUGGAUCACGAGGUCGGGAAUUCAAGACCAUCCUGGCCAGCAUGGAUGCCGAAGGACCUGUUCAAAGUAUUUUCUGUAACUCCAACUGUAACUUGGUUCUAGGAGGAGAGAAUCCAUGUUUGGUCAACAGAACUUUUCGCCGCCACUUAAGUUUACUGCUUCAAUAUCUUUUCCUUACUAAUUGAUUGUUAAUUAAGUAGUGUCCAAGUGAGUUAGCCUUUUUAGGGUUGAUUAAUUAAAAGAGCAGCAAGAAUGGCAUUUUAA